UCUUUUAAACCUUGCGAUCUAUGAGACAGAUGAUGUAAAGGUCACCUAUUUCUGUAACACAAUUGCGUUGAAAUCAAAAUAUUAAGAAAAAAGAAUAAUAUAUAUGUUUAUGUUUUAAUUGUUAUCACAUCGUCAUGAGACUACAUUUUGUUUUUAACAUCGCUAUAAAAAUAUUUUUAAAAGAUAUAAAAUUAUAUAUAUAACUCAUUCAAUAAAAAGUUGUAACAUAAUUGUAUUUUAACCAAAAUGUAUUUUUAUUAAGAAAAUAAUAACAAAUAAAUCGUAAAGUUCCCCUUUCAGACCGUCUUAUCUAUUGGGCAGAUAAUCUAAAGAUCAUCUGUUCUGCUUCUCUGGCCUACGCUUAACGAGUGUGUCAUGUGACAGUAGAACGACCAACCACCUUUACUUUUCACAACUGAUGGAUAGACAACGAGGCGCACUGAAAUUCCAAAAAUUAAAAAUCCUAGUCUUCACUAGCAUUCGAGCCCUGAACCCACUGGUUCU